rnacentral:rRNA from 1 species
UUAGAGCCUAAUAUCGGCAGUGGAUCACCUCUUCCCAUUCCGAACAGAGAAGUUAAGCCCGCCAGAGCCGAUGGUACUGCCGUAACAGGUGGGAGAGUAGGUCGGUGCCU